UACGGGGGGAGCUAGCGUUGUUCGGAAUUACUGGGCGUAAAGCGCGCGUAGGCGGCUUUGUAAGUUAGAGGUGAAAGCCCGGGGCUCAACCCCGGAACUGCCUUUAAAACUGCAUCGCUUGAAUCCGGGAGAGGUGAGUGGAAUUCCGAGUGUAGAGGUGAAAUUCGUAGAUAUUCGGAAGAACACCAGUGGCGAAGGCGGCUCACUGGACCGGUAUUGACGCUGGAGGUGCGAAAGCGUGGGGAGCAAACAGG
rnacentral:rRNA from 1 species